rnacentral:sRNA from 1 species
UAAUAUGUAAGAUUUGUCUAAACGAGUCGAAAGAUUUCUUUGGCAAAGACACACAACACUAUUCGACAAUUCAGACAUCAAAAACCAUUCAUUUGGUUUGCCGUGUUUGAUUGACGAAUAUAAUAUUUAACCCCACAUAAACAAACCCAAAUUUUGACUAAUCAAAUAUUACAAAUGCCAAUCCGUUUGAUUCAAUUCACUUUGAACAAAUCGAUUUUGAUAUUUACGUUAACUAUGAACAACUCUUAGCAACGGAUAUCUUGGUUCUCGUAACGAUGAAGAACGAAGCGAACUUCGAUACGUAAUACGAAUUGCAGAAUUCAGUGAAUCAUCAAAUUUUUGAACGCAAAUUGCGCUCUCGGGAUAUCCCUGGGAGCACGCCUCUCUGAGUAUCGGUUCUAUCCAUCUCAACGACGUUUUUCUCUAAGGAAAACGUGCAGUUGGAAAUUGAGCAUUGUCUCGCCUGAUUCAACUUCGGGCGAGUCGCUUCAAGGAUAGCGAGUCGAAAUACAAUAAGCUCGCAGCCCCAGUUGACAUUGAAUUUAGUAAGUGCUCUGUCACUUUCCCCACUUCUCUGUCG